UACGUAGGGGGCAAGCGUUGUCCGGAUUUAUUGGGCGUAAAGAGCGUGUAGGCGGUUUGGUAGGUCCGCUGUGAAAACUCGAGGCUCAACCUCGAGACGCCGGUGGAAACCAUCAGACUAGAGUCCGGAAGAGGAGAGUGGAAUUCCUGGUGUAGCGGUGAAAUGCGUAGAUAUCGGGAGGAACACCAGUGGCGAAGGCGACUACCUGGCCUGUUCUUGACGCUGAGGCGCGAAAGCUAGGGGAGCAAACGGG
rnacentral:rRNA from 1 species